rnacentral:rRNA from 1 species
CCUACGGGAGGCAGCAGUGGGGAAUAUUGCACAAUGGGGGAAACCCUGAUGCAGCGACGCCGCGUGAGUGAAGAAGUAUUUCGGUAUGUAAAGCUCUAUCAGCAGGGAAGAAAAUGACGGUACCUGAGUAAGAAGCCCCGGCUAACUACGUGCCAGCAGCCGCGGUAAUACGUAGGGGGCAAGCGUUAUCCGGAUUUACUGGGUGUAAAGGGAGCGUAGACGGUUAUGCAAGUCUGGAGUGAAAGGCGGGGGCUCAACCCCCGGACUGCUUUGGAAACUGUACGACUGGAGUGCAGGAGGGGUAAGUGGAAUUCCUGGUGUAGCGGUGAAAUGCGUAGAUAUUAGGAGGAACACCAGUGGCGAAGGCGGCUUACUGGACUGAAACUGACGUUGAGGUUCGAAAGCGUGGGGAGCAAACAGGAUUAGAUACCCGAGUAGUC